CGGCGCGACCUAACACAUGACAAGUCGAACGGCGAAGUCCGUCGGGGGCGGAACAGUGGCGGACGGGUGAGUAACGCGUGAGUAACCUGCCCUUACGAGCGGAAUAGCGUCGGGAAACUGACGGUAAUACCGCAUGAAGCUUAACCCCGGCAUCGGGGAGAAGCCAAAGGUUUAUCGCGUAAGGAUGGACUCGCGUCCCAUUAGAUAGUUGGCGGGGCAACGGCCCACCAAGUCAGCGAUGGGUAGCCGGAUUGAGAGGUUGAACGGCCACAUUGGAACUGAGAGACGGUCCAGACUCCUACGGGAGGCAGCAGUGGGGAAUAUUGGGCAAUGGGCGAAAGCCUGACCCAAGCGACGCCGCGUGAGCGAAGAAGGUCUUCGGAUUGUAAAGCUCUGUGUACAGGGACGAAGAAUGACGGUACCUGUAUAGAAAGCCACGGCUAACUACGUGCCAGCAGCCGC
rnacentral:rRNA from 1 species